rnacentral:rRNA from 1 species
UACGUAGGGAGCAAGCGUUGUCCGGAAUCAUUGGGCGUAAAGCGCGCGUAGGUGGCUUCGUAAGUCCGUUGUGAAAGUCAAGGCUCAACCUUUGAAAGCCGAUGGAUACUGUGGAGCUAGAGUACGGAAGAGGCGAGUGGAAUUCCUGGUGUAGCGGUGGAAUGCGCAGAUAUCAGGAGGAACACCAUAGCGAAGGCAGCUCGCUGGACGUUACUGACACUGAGGCGCGAAAGCGUGGGGAGCGAACAGG